rnacentral:rRNA from 2 species
AAAGAAACCAACAGGGAUUGCCCUAGUAACGGCGAGUGAAGCGGCAACAGCUCAAAUUUGAAAUCUGGCCCUCGGGUCCGAGUUGUAAUUUGUAGAGGAUGCUUUUGGUGAGGUGCCUUCCGAGUUCCCUGGAACGGGACGCCAUAGAGGGUGAGAGCCCCGUCUGGUUGGACACCGAGCCUCUGUAAAGCUCCUUCGACGAGUCGAGUAGUUUGGGAAUGCUGCUCUAAAUGGGAGGUAUAUGUCUUCUAAAGCUAAAUACCGGCCAGAGACCGAUAGCGCACAAGUAGAGUGAUCGAAAGAUGAAAAGCACUUUGAAAAGAGAGUUAAAAAGUACGUGAAAUUGUUGAAAGGGAAGCGCUUAUGACCAGACUUGGGCUUGGUUGAUCAUCCUGGGUUCUCCCUGGUGCACUCUUCCAGUUCAGGCCAGCAUCAGUUCGCUGCGGGGGAUAAAAGUUUUGGGAAUGUGGCUCCUCCGGGAGUGUUAUAGCCCAUUUCAUAAUACCCUGCUCCGGACUGAGGUUCGCGCAUCUGCAAGGAUGCUGGCGUAAUGGUCAUCAGCGACCCGUCUUGAAACACGGACCAAGGAGUCGUCUUCGUAUGCGAGUGUUCGGGUGUUAAACCCCUACGCGUAAUGAAAGUGAACGCAGGUGAGAGCUUCGGCGCAUCAUCGACCGAUCCUGAUGUUCUCGGAUGGAUUUGAGUAAGAGCAUACGGGGCCGGACCCGAAAGAAGGUGAACUAUGCCUGUAUAGGGUGAAGCCAGAGGAAACUCUGGUGGAGGCUCGCAGCGGUUCUGACGUGCAAAUCGAUCGUCAAAUAUGGGCAUGGGGCGAAAGACUAAUCGAACCUUCUAGUAGCUGGUUUCCGCCGAAGUUUCCCUCAGGA